rnacentral:sRNA from 16 species
CCAAAAGAGUUGGUCAAUGCGAUUACUCCCAAGUUGGAAUAUCGGAAAACCGAUGAAGA